rnacentral:lncRNA from 1 species
CAAACUAGAACAUGGCUAGUAUAUGACAUUGUAAAACAAACCAAAAAAAAUCUGAUCCUCCAAUAGCAGCAAAACAAUGUGAAAGAUAAAGAGAAGCAACGUGGAUGUUUCCAGACUGUUCUGGGAAGUCAUCGGUAGCAGCGAACAAAGAAAACGGAACCGCAGCCUGUCCCUCGCGUGGUCCCCGCCCGCCUCCCCUCCGCACACUUCCACUCUCACCUCCUUGCUCCCUUCACACUCUCCCUACAGGAUAAUUACAAAAAGGUACACAGCCAAGAUGUGCAAAUUACCUAUCGGUUGCUAAGUUUUUUUUAUGAAAGGAUCUAACUUUAAUAAACUGUCCUACACUUGCGACAUCUAAGGCAGAAAAAGUUGGCACUGAAGGAUUCCUAAACUUCAGCUUCUCUACAGAAAAGGAAAGGAACACACCAUCCUGGCAACGUGAAGAAUGAAUGCACACUUUCUUCUCCUCGACCAGAACCUAGUCCUCCAAAGUAUCACCACCCCCUUCCGCUAACACCACAGUGACAAGCACCUGCCUUGCG